rnacentral:lncRNA from 1 species
CCGCCCCAAUACGAUGUGAGACAUCCUCGUCAAUCUCACCGUUAUUCUGGAUCACGGACCCAAGAUACUUGAACUUAUCCCUCUUCCAUACCUCCUGUGCUUCCAACUUCACUACUACUUCAAAAUAAUAUAAUAAAUAUUUAACACUGCGAAUUUUUGUAUGAUAACAUCAAUAAAGUUGACUUAUAAAUAAUGAUAGAAUUUAAUUUAAAUUAUUAAAAGACUUGAUUCAACAAAAUACUUUUGUAGAGGUUCCUUCAUAUUAAACCAUACAAAAAAAAGUUAAUAAUUUAUUUUUUUACUUUAGUAGUUUGUUUUUCCGAAAGUACAUGUUAAGAAAUUUAUGUUGAUAAUUCUUAAACGUGGAUGAAGCUUUAAUAUUUUGUGUUAAAUUACUUAGUUUGUCUUAAGUUCUAUAAAAUGUUGAUAAUCCCAUUUUUUGUUAAAAUAUUCAUCAUUAAAAAAAUGUGAAAAAGAAUUGAUCUCAUUUUUCUUUAUUUAGUAGCAUUAAUAUUUGGAGAGUUAAAUUGUAUUUUCUUAAAAUUAAAUUUUAAAUAUUUUUAGCUAUAUAUAAAAAAUAUUUUUUAUUUAAUAAUUAAGCAACUACUAAAUUAGAAAGGGAAUGUCAAUAUAUUUUAAUUGCUAGUCCAUGAUAAAUUUGUUAGGAAAAUGAAAUUUUGAAAUAAGAUUAAUAAACAUUUUCACAAAAUAGAAAGACAAUAAACUCUUGAAUCAAUUUUGAAUUUAAUUGUAUAAAUACUUUUUUAUGGUUUCAUUAUUUUUCAUGACUCAUCACUUUUGUAGCAAUUUAAUAAGCCCAUAUAAUUUUUCAAAUUUAGCAAAAUGAAUGAAAAUUUGUAGAAUAACUAAAAUUUACAUCAAGAAUAAAUUGAUAAAAAAAAUUAUGUGAGAACUAUCAAAUCUCACAUUCUCUCUUAUAUAGUAGUAACUAGGGGGUUUGAGCCACAUGUGACAAAAGAGAUUUAAAAUGAGGUGUAGGUGACAUAAGUCUUAGGGCCCGUUUGGCCAUGAUUUUUUUUCCCUUUUUUUUCGAAAAAUUUUUCCGGAGUUGGAAAUUGUGGUGUUUGACCAUGAAAAUUCGGAAAAUAAUUCCGGAAAAUUUUUCUGAAAGGGGAAAACAAGUUUUUGUUGUUUUCACAAUUUUCAACUCCAAUUCCAACUUUUAUUAUUAUUACGUAUAACCCC